GUGGCGGACGGGUGAGUAACACGUGGGAACGUGCCCUUUGGUUCGGAACAACUCAGGGAAACUUGAGCUAAUACCGGAUGUGCCCUUCGGGGGAAAGAUUUAUCGCCAUUGGAGCGGCCCGCGUCGGAUUAGCUAGUUGGUGGGGUAAAGGCCCACCAAGGCGACGAUCCGUAGCUGGUCUGAGAGGAUGAUCAGCCACAUUGGGACUGAGACACGGCCCAAACUCCUACGGGAGGCAGCAGUGGGGAAUCUUGCGCAAUGGGCGAAAGCCUGACGCAGCCAUGCCGCGUGAAUGAUGAAGGUCUUAGGAUUGUAAAAUUCUUUCACCGGGGACGAUAAUGACGGUACCCGGAGAAGAAGCCCCGGCUAACUUCGUGCCAGCAGCCGCGGUAAUACGAAGGGGGCUAGCGUUGCUCGGAAUUACUGGGCGUAAAGGGAGCGUAGGCGGACUGUUUAGUCAGAGGUGAAAGCCCAGGGCUCAACCUUGGAAUUGCCUUUGAUACUGGCAGUCUUGAGUACGGAAGAGGUAUGUGGAACUCCGAGUGUAGAGGUGAAAUUCGUAGAUAUUCGGAAGAACACCAGUGGCGAAGGCGACAUACUGGUCCGUUACUGACGCUGAGGCUCGAAAGC
rnacentral:rRNA from 1 species